rnacentral:rRNA from 1 species
CGGCGGACGGGUGAGUAACGCGUGGGUAACCUGCCCCACUACAGGGGGAUAACAGUUGGAAACGGCUGCUAAUACCGCAUAAGCGCACAGUACCGCAUGGUACGGUGUGAAAAACUCCGGUGGUAUGAGAUGGACCCGCGUCUGAUUAGGUAGUUGGUGGGUAACGGCCUACCAAGCCGACGAUCAGUAGCCGACCUGAGAGGGUGACCGGCCACAUUGGGACUGAGACACGGCCCAA